GUCGUCCUCGCUUUGCCACUUCUUCGCCGGUAUCCACCGCUUCUUAGGGGCUUCCGUCUCUCCAGCGUGGAGAACGGAGGAUUAUUCGAGACCGGCUACCAGACCGGUCCUCCGUAUUCAGUCGUUAUGGCAACCCUGCGAACAUCAUUUUGGAAUAAUGCUACACAUUUUACCUCUGCGGGCUGAGCCUCAUUGCUCUUGAAAAGACGCAUAUCUUGCAGCAGGAUACAAAACAACAAUAGACUAUGACUGCGA